UUGAUAAAUUAAUCCAGAAUUCUUCUAUUGAGUUAAACUAUCUACAACAAACUAACCGUGAUCUAAAAGAGAGAAUUGAAACCAUUAAUGAAAAUGUUGAUAACAAUAUUAUACCUGUUAAUUUGAUUGAAGAGGUGGACCAGUUACGAAUAAUGGGUAAUAAGUUAAAUGAUAUAUCAGAAAUUAAGUUUAAUGAGAAUUUAAUUCUCAAUCCACAACUGGCUAUAA